CCUACGGGUGGCAGCAGUGAGGAAUAUUGGUCAAUGGGCGAGAGCCUGAACCAGCCAAGUCGCGUGAAGGAUGACGGCCCUACGGGUUGUAAACUUCUUUUGUCAGGGAGCAAUUGAGUCCACGUGUGGUCUUAGCGAGAGUACCUGAAGAAAAAGCAUCGGCUAACUCCGUGCCAGCAGCCGCGGUAAUACGGAGGAUGCGAGCGUUAUCCGGAUUUAUUGGGUUUAAAGGGUGCGUAGGCGGAAUAUCAAGUCAGCGGUAAAAAUUCGGGGCUCAACCCCGUCGUGCCGUUGAAACUGAUGUUCUUAGUGGGCGAGAAGUAUGCGGAAUGCGUGGUGUAGCGGUGAAAUGCAUAGAUAUCACGCAGAACCCCGAUUGCGAAGGCAGCCUUCCGGCGCCCUACUGACGCUGAGGCACGAAAGUGCGGGGAUCGAACAGGAUUAGAUACCCGUGUAGUC
rnacentral:rRNA from 1 species